AUUGAACGCUGGCGGCAGGCCUAACCCAUGCAAGUCGAGCGGAUCGCCGGACGGGUGAGUAAUGCCUAGGAAUCUGCCUGUGAGUGGGGGAUAACGUCCGGAAACGGGCGCUAAUACUGCAUACUAUCAGAUGAGCCUAGGUCGGAUUAGCUAGGUGGUGGGGUAAAGGGCUACCAAGGCGACGAUCCGUAACUGGUCUGAGAGGAUGAUCAGUCACACUGGAACUGAGACACGGUCCAGACUCCUACGGGAGGCAGCAGUGGGGAAUAUUGGACAAGGGGCGAAAGCCUGAUCCAGCCAUGCCGCGUGUGUGAAGAAGGCCUUCGGGUUGUAAAGCACUUUCAGCGGGGAGGCGUUACCCGCAGAAGAAGCACCGGCUAACUCCGUGCCAGCAGCCGCGGUAAUUC
rnacentral:rRNA from 1 species